AGGGACUUAGGAAUACAUCAAACCAGGGGCCUUCAAAGCCUCAAACAAGAGACACCU
rnacentral:tRNA from 1 species